AAAUGUUCAGUCGGAUUUUUUAUUGGGGUAGGCAUUUGAAAAUCACAGUUAAAAUUAGCAUAACUGAAAUUCUGUUGAUACUGAUAAUUUAGGAUGACAGAACUUAUUUGUAACAUCAAAUUAUAUUUCAUACAUGAAAUUAUUAUUGUGUAGGGUUGCUGGUUCUCUGAAGAGCUUGGUGAAAGAUUGCACUCCAUUUGCAAUCGAAACGCAAUUUCCUCAUAUUUUAUGAGAAAGGCUGAGGACAAACUAGAAUAUCUCUGCAACAAACAGGAAAUAAAUAGGAAAACAGCUGAAUACAGUUCCCUCUUCACACCACGUCCAAGGAAAUGUAUAUGCGGUCAUUAUUUUGGUAAUUUCAUAUCAAACUAACUGAAUUGAUAUUAUAUUAGGGUUUCCAUUUUUCCAGAAUAGAAAUCCCAUUUUUAAAUUGGAAUGAUCCGGAAAUUUCUUUCGUAAGCAGGAAUUCUGAGAAAAUUCCGGAUCAAAUGGAAACCAGAAUGUUUACGAUUUACGUUACGUAAACCGGAAAUUUUUACCUGACAGUUGUUUCAAAAUAUUGUUUAUUAUAUUCUCUUUCAGCUAAGGAUGUGUGCAAAGGCUGUGGUAAAACCAGACCACCAUCCACAAUGCAAACAUAAGACAACCACUGUUACCAACUACCCUAACAGCUAGUCAUCUACCCUACUGGCUCUUAAGCUAUCCACACAGCCACCAGCUCGUCACCAUCCAGUCCAGGAUUAUUGGUUUCAAAAUUUGUUAAAUUAUGUCGUACAUGUACAUGUAACUUUGUCGGUGGGCUACACAGCUGUUAUAUCUAAUUUUAGGUUUUACUAUAACAAAUUUCUAUUCUGGCUAUUGUUCAUUCUAUAAAAAUAAUUUGUAGAGGAACGAGGGAAACCAGGGAAACCAGGGAAACCAGGGAAACCAGGGGAACCUGGGGAACCAGGGAAACCUGGGGAAUCUGGGGAACCUGAGAAACCAGGAGGGGGGAACAAGGGGGAAACCAGAGUGAAACAAGAGUGGAGGAACCAGGGAAACCAGGGAAACCAGGGAAACCUGGGGAACCUGUGGAACCAGGGGAACCAGGGAAACCUGGGGAACCUGGGGAACCUGAG